CCUGCCUUUUAGAUUGGGAUACCCGAAGGAAACUUUGGCUAAUACCGGAUAAUACAAACCGAGGCAUCUCGGAUGUUUGAAAGGGGCCUUUAAAGCCCCACUAAAAGAUGGACCUGCGGCGCAUUAGCUAGUUGGUGAGAUAACAGCCCACCAAGGCGAGGAUGCGUAGCCGAACUGAGAGGUUGAUCGGCCACAUUGGAACUGAGACACGGUCCAAACUCCUACGGGAGGCAGCAGUAAGGAGUUUUCGGCAAUGGGGGAAACCCUGACCGAGCAACGCCGCGUGAGUGAUGACGGCCCUAUGGGUUGUAAAGCUCUGUUAUAAGGGACGAACAGCUUUGCGAGGAAAUGCGCAGAGUCUGACGGUACUUUAUCAGAAAGCCACGGCUAACUACGUGCCAGCAGCCGCGGUAAUACGUAGGUGGCAAGCGUUAUCCGGAAUUAUUGGGCGUAAAGAGUGAGCAGGCGGCAGGUUAAGUUUGAGGUUAAAGCGUGGGGCUCAACCCCAUAAAGCCUUGAAAACUGAUCAGCUAGAGUACGAGAGAUGUGAAGGGAACUCCAUGUGUAGCGGUGAAAUGCGUAGAUAUAUGGAAGAACACCAGUGGCGAAGGCGGCUCACUGGCCUGUUACUGACGCUGAGGCUCGAAAGCGUGGGGAGCAAAUAGGAUUAGAUACCCUAGUAGUCCACGCCGUAAACGAUGGAUACUA
rnacentral:rRNA from 1 species